CCAAAAUUCAGAAAAAGAAAAACAAAAAAGAAAAAAGAAAGAAA
rnacentral:ribozyme from 14 species